AAGAGAAAGUUUUUGGGGAAAUCUAAAAGUUUUACUUUAGUUUGUAUAAUAAUUAACUUGACUACAUAAAUACUGGGAAAAUAAUUAGAAUCACAGAUUAUGUUGAAUGCCUAAAGAAAUAUGUUUGACAACUUUUAAUUUUCUUCCCUCCCACACACCACUUCCUAGUUUGUUUCUGGCACACCAGAUGUGUCUCAACACAGUUGCUGAUCUGGGUAGAGUUGUGUGAACAACCGUGAUUGUGGCAUAACAAAUUUUUUCAUUUGGAUUACAUUAAUGAAACUAAAAGUAGAAGGGCCACUAUUUUUCAGAUGCUGUGAUACAGAUAGGAGGGUUAGCCUGCCCUUUCUCUAAACCUCUGCAUCAGUGUUCUUUCACUAAGCUAACAUUAAAGUUUGUGUCCACGUGGUGAAUGUACAUAAAAGCUUCUUGUUUUUCAUAGUUAGAUACCAAAGGGCUACUUUGAGGCAUAAGAAUGAAGAGGGAUGAUUUUUGGAGAAAAGUGAAAAAAGAAUUAGUCACAGGGAAAGGUUUAUAAAUAAUAUUCCCUUUUCUAUUUUCCAGGCUUUUUGAAUAGGCCAAUUAACUUGCUGUUUUUUAGCUUAAAAUCAGCUUUGGUUCUUGAUCUCCAUGGAGAAAAUACUUUCUUUAGGCAUAUUUAUUUUGCCUUUCAUUUAUUUACUGUACUAAUUUUCUAAUUAUUCUUAGCCUUUUUUCAAUUUAAAUGCCAGAGUAAGUACUACACCCCAGAAAUUGUAAUUUAUUUCAAAGGAAUUAAUUUUGUUUUUAGCUUUGCCCUUAUAUGUGAUCUUUCUGUGUGUCCCUAAUUUUGAUCAUCUACUAGUAAUUUAUUUAAUACUUUUCCUCUCAUUUUUUAAUUAUAGAAUAAGCAAUAUUACCAUUAGAAAGAAACUGUUAUUUAACUUAAUAACUUGUGCAUUUAGUCUGUUUCUUUUCAGUUUCAGAUUGUAUUUGGUUUCAAUUUAUAUUGCCCUUUACAUGUAUUAUACCCUUUGAUGAAUGAUUUUCAAGAGUGAUUGUUUAAUCAUCUAGUUUACUUAAUCAUUUCUAUAAAGUUAGAGAUUUAGAUUUAUAAUCUUUUGCUAUUAUAAAUUACAUUACCACAGAAAAUCUAUUUGAGGAUGUCUUUCUUUCUUUCCUUUCCUUUUUUCCUUCCUUCUUUCUGUCGUUCUUUCGAUUCUCCCUCCCUCCCUUCUUCCCCUCCUUCCUUCCUUCAUUUUUAGAGUUAUUUACUCAUUUUAAACUUUCUGGCUUGACAUUGUUAGGCUAAAGGUUUUGAAUAUUUUUAUGGAUCAAAGGAUAUGAUUUUUUAAAAUGGCUCUUAAAGUGCUUUGUCAAAUUGCUUUCUAAUGUAAAUUGCCAACAAUCACAUAUAGGUUUAUCAGUUUUACUUUUCCAGGAACCUGGACAGUGUUGUGAAUUAUUUCUUAGAAUUUUUGUAUCUGUUAGUUAAAUGAAAAAUAGCACUUUGGUAUCAUUUUAAUUUGCAUUGGUUUGAUAAAUGUUUGAAUGUUCUUUUUUUAUGUGUGCUUCAUAAUCUGAUUUCCCCCUAUGCAUGUUCAUGUUAUUGACUGACUUUUCUUCUGGAUUUUAUGUUUUUCUGUCACAUUGUUUAUCCUUUGUUUGUAAUAUAGAAAACAAUCUUUUGUCUCUUGUACUUCUUAAAUAUAUUUCCUUUUCCUUAAGUUGUUUUCCUUUUCCAAUGACUAUUAAUUUAUUAGUAUUAAAGAUUAAAUUGUUACACAAAAUUUACAUCUUUUUGUUUUUUUAUUGACUCAAAGUUUAGAGUGCUAUCAUUCUUUCAAAAAUACCCAGUUCUGUUUCAUGCUAAUGUUUAAUGAGCUAAAUUGUAUCUGUUAAAUAUAGAUACAUAUAUACAUGCAUAUAGAGAGAAAGAGGAGAGGUUAGUAUUAUAAUUAUAUGGUAUGGUGUAAUUUUUUUUCUUUUUAUGCCCAUACCUGAGGAAGUUCUUGGGCUAGGGGUCGAAUUGGAGCUGCAGCUGUUGGCCUAUGCCACAGCCAUGGCAACACGGGAUCUGAGCCACAUUUAUGACCUAUGCUGCAGCUUGUGGCAACAUGUAGGGUGUAAAUUUUGACUCAUUUUUUCCUCAAAUUACUGACCAGUUAUCUCUCUAUCAUUUAUUUAAUAGCUUUCUUCCCCUGGACCCAUUGUUUUGAAUUUUCUUUUCAUGUUGCAUUAUUACAUUAUUACAUAUAAUUAGGUAUUUUCCUAGAUUUUAUGCCCUUAUUCAUUGAACUAUUUCAAAUUAUAUAUCAAAACCACAUUACUUAAAUUAUUAUUGUUGUGCAAUAUGUUUUAAAAUCUAGAGUAAUCUUUUCAAAAAUCAUUGAGUUUCUCCUGUGUUCUAGAAAAAGUAUGGAUAUAGAAAUUAAAAUUAUCCUGUUUCUAUACCUCUGAUAAUUAAAGGCUUGCCAGGAAAACAGGCAUGUAAAAUGUAUUUUACACUAAUGUGAUAAAAACCAUAGAAGAGAAGUGACUACAGAACUGUGGUAGCAUAAUGAAUAGUCUAUUUUCUAGUGCUAGUGACAGAUCUACUUUAAUUAUAAUUGCUAUUUUAUUAUGUCUACAAAAUAACUUUUGAUUUUUUUGAAUUUUGUAAUCUUCUCACAUAGGAUUAUUGUUUGUGUUAUUUAUUUCCCUAUUAAGUUUUAUAGUUUUCUUUAAUAUGAAGUUCUUAUUAGAGAAAUUUUAAGUUAAACAUAUAUAUGUUAUCAGUAUUGUUUGUGACAGUCUCUAGGUUUGAUUUAUUUCUUUUCAAAAAGCCUUUAUUUUGGAUUUAACACUCUCAUGGAAAAUUGGAGUACAUACUUCUUCAUCUUUUUUUUAUUUGGAAGCAGUCAAGUAUUCACUGGUAAUAUUUCUGGGAUUUGAUUGGGUUUAGCAUAUAUAUAAGACACAAGCAUGGAAGCAUCAUUGAUGUUUACUAGUAGUUAAUUUUUGAAACCAACAGGAAGCCAAUGAGAAAUUCUUGUGCAAAGAAAACCAUAUUAAACUUGAUUGAAUUUGUGGGGAAAAAUUUAUAUUCUGUGGCCUUGGAAACUUUAGAUUUAUCAUCUUUGGCAUGCGAAUUAUAGUUUCUAUUGUUGGAGCUGUUAAUUGGUGACAAUGAGGGCUUAAGAGAUGUUAAGGAGUUGUGGGAAAUGAAACAAACACGCAUUAAAGGGUAAUUAUUUCUGGAUUUCUGCUUAAAUCAGUUGUUUCAGCCCUACUUUUCAGAUGCAGAAGAAAGUUUAUUUCAUUAUUUCAGUUUUCUAAUCUGUGUUUUAUUUAAAAAUAUUUUUGUAUUUGCAAACUAGGUCAGGAGUAAGCAGGACCUUGGUGAUGUAAAUAAACAAAUCCUAGUGGAAGCCUGUCUGUGGACUUUCUCUUUUGUGUAAUUCUUUUUAUAUGGAAGAACACUUCUCUUGGCCAGGAUCCCAUUAUAAAAAAGGAAAGAAAGGUGGGGAUGAAGGGGGAUAAAUAUUCCUAGAGAGACUGCUUGAAUUUCAACCUUUCGAUUACUUGAUUAUUCUUAUGGCUAUGGGAGAUGAAAGAAUAAUGAGAAGUUCAUUUCCUUUAUGAAUCAUAUUAGACAAUAUGGAUAUACACAGGGCUCUUGACUUGAAUAAAAACCAUGGCCUUUAAACAGUUCUCUUUUUGGGGAACACAGUUUGCGGAGGAGCAGUGAAAUUGUUUUAGCAGUCCAAAUUCUGUGACUUCAGAGUAAGUUCAAGUGCAGGGAGAUAAGUGGCAGGCAUUUGAUAGUAAAUUUAAUCCAGGUGUUUAUUUUAUUUAAUAUAUGCAUUGCCUCAUUUAAAAAAUCAUUUGAGACAUCUUAUAAGAACAUAUUUAUUCAACUUAAUAAUGAGGAAGUGUAUAGAGAAGAAAGGACUUACUAUCAGGAGAACAUUUAUAAAUCAAUAGGAAGUCUUAACUAGGAAGU
rnacentral:lncRNA from 1 species